GACGAACGCUGGCGGCGUGCUUAACACAUGCAAGUCGAACGGAAAGGCCCUGCUUUUGUGGGGUGCUCGAGUGGCGAACGGGUGAGUAACACGUAAGUAACCUGCCCUUGACUUUGGGAUAACUUCAGGAAACUGGGGCUAAUACCGGAUAGGAGCUCCUGCUGCAUGGUGGGGGUUGGAAAGUUUCGGCGGUUGGGGAUGGACUCGCGGCUUAUCAGCUUGUUGGUGGGGUAGUGGCUUACCAAGGCUUUGACGGGUAGCCGGCCUGAGAGGGUGACCGGCCACAUUGGGACUGAGAUACGGCCCAGACUCCUAUGGGAGGCAGCAGUGGGGAAUAUUGCACAAUGGGCGGAAGCCUGAUGCAGCAACGCCGCGUGCGGGAUGACGGCCUUCGGGUUGUAAACCGCUUUCGCCUGUGACGAAGCGUGAGUGACGGUAAUGGGUAAAGAAGCACCGGCUAACUACGUG
rnacentral:rRNA from 1 species